rnacentral:rRNA from 1 species
UACGGAGGAUGCAAGCGUUAUCCGGAUUCAUUGGGUUUAAAGGGUGCGUAGGCGGCCUUUUAAGUCAGUGGUGAAAUCCUGCCGCUUAACGGUAGAAUUGCCAUUGAUACUGAAAGGCUUGAGUCCAGUUGAGGUAAGCGGAAUGUGUAGUGUAGCGGUGAAAUGCUUAGAUAUUACACAGAACACCAAUUGCGAAGGCAGCUUACUAAACUGGCACUGACGCUGAUGCACGAAAGCGUGGGGAGCGAACAGG